GUGUCAGCAGCCGCGGUAAUACGGAGGAUGCAAGCGUUAUCCGGAAUGAUUGGGCGUAAAGCGUCCGCAGGUGGCUGUGUAAGUCUGCUGUCAAAGAGCAAAGCUCAACUUUGUAAAGGCAGUGGAAACUACACGGCUAGAGUGCGUUCGGGGCAGAGGGAAUUCCUGGUGUAGCGGUGAAAUGCGUAGAGAUCAGGAAGAACACCGGUGGCGAAGGCGCUCUGCUAGGCCGCAACUGACACUGAGGGACGAAAGCUAGGGGAGCGAAUGGGAUUAGAUACCCCAGUAGUCC
rnacentral:rRNA from 1 species